ensembl:lncRNA
AUGGAGUCCAUGGAUUUUGCACUAAUUGAGCUGUCACUUGGUCAUCAGAAACAGUCUUGUUCAUAUAAAGUGGUUUCCUUGACAGUGCUUGGACUCGAUGAACCAAUGGCAGAGACUUCAAUUUCCACAGUUUCCUCAGUUUUCACCUGCAAUCCAGCUGCUGAAGAAAGGAAGAGAGGCCGACCAAGGGCGAGAUGGAUGGACGGUAUCCUUGAAAGUGACUGGCUUGAUCUUGAAGGAACUGGGGGCGGUGACGGCAGACAGGGAGCUCUGGCGUGGACUGGUCCAUGAGGUCACGAAGAGUUGGAAACGACUAUGUGAUUGAGCAGCAGCAGUAUGUUUGAUCAUAAACAUGCCAUCAUCAUGAUUACAACUAACAUUAUUUUUUACAAAAAAAAAACCCCAAUCCUCAUCUAAUAUAAAAGUAAUUGCACCAUUAAAAGAAUUAAAUGGAGGUGAUUGUCAAAUCACCUCUGGCUUAUGCCCAUAUUUACCACGUUUAGCCCUACCCUGGCCCAUAUUGCCAUCUUGUUCAAUUUAUAUUUUAUACCAAUUGGCUGUAGAAUCACCCAAGGGAGCGAUUGCAUUUGCUUCUAUUAAGGCAUUAUAUUGUUUUAAAAUGUUGGAAUUUUAAAUAUGUUUUGUUAAUUGCCGUUAUAUUGGUUUCUUCUAUUUUGUAUGAUGUAUAUGUAUUGAAUGUUUUAUUAUGUGUAAACCGCUCUGAGUCCCCACGUGAGAUAGAGUGGUAUAUAAAUAAAGUUUUGUUGUUGUUGUUGUUGUUAUUUAUUCUAAAACAAUUCAAUGUAAAUAAUAAUUUGAGAUACCUUAUGUUGCAAUGUUAUAUUUCAUUUCUAAUAGAAAUGUGUAUUCUUUCUAUUUAUCGUGAUACAGCUUGUUAAUUCCAGUGAAUAGACAGAUAUGCAAUGCUGUUGCUGUAAGCCACUUAGAGACAGAUAAUUCAUAGAACUGCAUUACAUAUGAGUUCAUUAUAAUAACAUUAACCAGGCUAGUUCACAAUAAGGCCUAUCUAGUUCUGCUUUUUAUACUGUCCACUAGGGAUGCACAAUCCAUAAAGAAUGGUUCAAAAGUUAUUACAAAACUGGGGGGUGGGAGUGCUGGUGUUUCAUUCCUAAAGUGUUUCUAAAAUGUUUCUAGUGAAAAUUUUGUUACUAUAACAAGAGUAAUGAAAUUUUGUUACUAUUUCGUUAUAGUAAUUGCUCAUGCGCAUAACUACUAUAAUUGGGGAAAAUUCAUGGGCUCAUUUCUCCUUCAUUUUUAUAGUUAUUGGGGUGAAAUUUGCUAUAGUAGUAGAAUACAUUUACCAUUCUUAGUCCACCAAAUUUCAGAAUGUUUCACCUAUCCACUGACUUUUGGGGAAUUCUCAUUUUUUUUAUAAACAACAUUUUUAAUAAUAAAGAAAAUAUGUUCCCAGACUGAAAGUAUUAUUUCCUGUUUAACUGAAUAGUCCCUACUUUGAAAAUAAUUUUCUACACUGGGAACUUUGUGUUGUGCCCAAUUUUUUGUUAAAUGGGUGGAUGAUAAUGUUAAAUUGGUGAUCUGGGUAGCAAAAUGUGCUAUAACAUGAUGUCCCUCACUCAAAGACAAUGUUUUGCAGUUUAAUAAACUUUUGCCAUGUUUUUAUGAUAGAACCAUUUAGAAAAUGACAUUUAUAACCCAGGAACAAAAACCAUAGUGUAGAAACCCUCAAAACAUCCCCAACAGAUGACCAUCUAGCCUCUGAAUAAUAAUAAUAUUAAGAAGAAGAAGAAGAAGAUGUUCCUAGUUUGAAAGUGUUAUUUCUUGUUUAAUUUGCAGUCCUUAUUAGGAAAUGACAUUUAUAACCCAGGAACAAAAAUAAUAAUUUAUUGGAAUUCUGGUUGGCUACGGAAGGGAAAAUCUUUCUGAUGCUGAGCAGUGCACAGUGUAGUUUAGGGCAGGGCCUUUUGAAUUCUCUGGCAUAUG